UCCUGUCUCACAUUCCCUAGGCCUAAAUGUUCCUGAUUUGACAGCUGGGGAUGGAUCAGACAGAUUAUAACUCUGUGAAUGAGCCACCAGUGGGACUUGUUCAUGUAAAGAAUUACACAAGUUUCUUGCAUAGUGUCCUCACGAGACAUUAUUUGUAAGAAGGAUUCCUACUAUUUUUUAACAGAAAUGAGUGAGAACCAUAUGAUUAUUUUACCAACAGCAUAGCCUCGGGUUUUCUUCAUUGUUAAUGGAAUAUAUAAAGGAAGGACAUAUGGGUAUUUAUUUUACAUGGAGCAAGACUGGUGUUUCUAAUGCCAGGACAUAUUUACCAGUACACUAUGUAAUGGUGGCCCCAUAGACCAUAGGUUAGUAAACACUCUGCUGUGAUUUGUUUUAAACUUCACAAUUCAACAAAGUCUGUGAUGGCCAAAGAAAUUCUGUCUUCACCCCUGGAUUUAAUAUUUCUGUCAUGACUUAUAUGAGACUAUAAAAUGAGCUCAUUAAGUUUACCUCCAACACUAUGUUUAAAGCAUCAGACGCAAACUUUGAGAGAUGGUUUGACCAUGCAGUGUUGCCGCAAGGAGCCACAUAAACUUAAGCAAGGAUAGUUAUUUGUGGGGAAAAAAAAAAGACCUGAAUAGACAAACUGAAGAGUAAUUAGCUUAGGGAAUAUGGACAAAAUAAAUUGCAGGACUCUAAUUCAUUUUGACCUAACCAGGGAUCAAAGCCUUUAAAAUUUAUUUAAUAAACUUUUUGAAGCUGAAAAGUGCUAGCAACAAGUACCAAGUUGGGAUGUGUGAGGUCAGGAACUAUUGUCACUAUGCCAGCAUCAGUAUCCAGGGGUUGGCACAGAUUUCUGAUGAUAUACAGCAAGGAGAAACAAGAAAUGGCGAAACAAGCAAACAAAACUAAGUUCUGAAAGAGGAUGGAGACAGUACCCUAGAAAUGAGGGCCUUGUCCCAAGGAGACAGACAGAUUUCACAUUUAUUUUAGUUUAAAAAGAAAACGAUACUGGACUCUAAUGAAAACCCAUGGAUAUCAUCAGUACCGGGGUUGAGGUACUGCACUGAUGUAGGAAACUCUUUCCUGAAUUUUUACAACUGCAAUUGUUAGUGAGCUAGGGUGUUAUAUUGAAGAACCACAGUUUGAAUGGAUCAGAUAACAUAAAUUCAUUUCCUCACAGCUCUAGAAUCCAGAAUAUGAAAGAUUUGGCUUCCUGAUCAGGGCUCUAUUUGGCUUAAAGAGAGAUUUUUGGCUCUGUUCUCAUUAUGCUCAUUAUGUCUUCCUGUAGUAUGGAGGGAGACUUUGAGACAGUGUUGUUGGCUAGGAAAGAGAGAGAGAGAGAGAGAGAGAGAGAGAGAGAGAGAGAGAGAAGAGGCAAGGUGGAAAAGAGAGAGAAAAAGAUGUUACUUAACCAGACAUGUUGGGAAAAACCUGUAAUUUCAUUAUUUUGAAGGUGAAAACAAGAGAAGCAAGAAUGAGCUUGUGAGCAAUGUGGGCUAUAUAACGGCAACCAAAUCCUGAAAACAAAGGAAAACAAAACAAACCACAAAAAUUAUUUUCUCUUUAAAAAAAGUUUACUUCUGGGAUAGAGGUAUCUCUUUAUAAGUAUUUGUAAACCACCAGACUUUAAUCAAACUCCAUUAACACCAAAGGCAUGAUCCUAAGACUUCACAUGCCAAGUAAUGAGGUUUUAAGUUUCUUUCUUUUUUUCUGUUCUGUACUCUCCAAGGAGGCAUGGCAGGAAUGCAGAUUUACUAACAUAACUUUGCAAAGAAAGGUGUUCUUCAUGAUAACAUGGUUUGUUCAUUUAAAAGUGAGUUUUGUGGAAGGUAAAAAUUAAGUAAUAAGGAUAGACCACCUAGCUAUUUAAUCUUCUAGAAUGGGUAAAAAGUAUGAACAUGAUUUUCAUAUGUCAAAAUCAAAAAUUAACCAUUGAAAUGGAGAUGAAUAGUUCUCUAGUUAGAUAUUAGAGUCUCAGAGAGCUUUCAUCAGUGAAGCUGCAAUCCAGUUACAUUUGCAUUUCAAGGAGCAUCCUACAGUAUAGUUUAAAAGCCUGGGACUGUGAGCUGAAUUUUCUGUCAAACCGAGAGCACCUUUAUAUAGCAACUGUGAAUAUUAAGCAUUUGCUCUAUGUACCUUUUUAUCAUAGAAAAAUUAGUUAAAUCGAUUAUUUUUUUAAUUUAAAAAAAUGAAAUUGUACUAUUUUAACCCAUACUUUGCUUUGGUUAAAAGAUGUCCCUGAGUGCACUGUUGCAAACCAUCACCAGCUUCACAGGUCAGUGGUCAGUGGUUGAUGAAGUACAUGGCUUGUAUGUGGUGGCCUGAACACUACUGUCCCUUUAAUCUUAUCUUCAUUGUUAUCUUCAAAACUUUAAUAAAAUGCUAGGAGCUAUCUAAACCAUAAUCACUUUAGGUUUCAAAAUAGCUAAAAUACUGCCAUUGUAUCUG
rnacentral:lncRNA from 1 species